rnacentral:lncRNA from 1 species
UCCCUUCAAACCAUCCACACACCUUCCCUAUAAAUAGGGGAAGGUGUCUCAUUCAUUUUACACGCUGAAAAAGGCCUAUAACCCCUUAUGCAUAUUGCAUUCAAAGCUUCAAAAAUAGAAAUCAUGUUUCUUAGUUUCAGAGAGUUUCAACCUGAAAUAACCACCCAUAAACCUUCACUAACCUUCACUCAAGUUAUUCCAAUCCCUAACUCAUUCUCCCCAAGCCUCAUUUGAGCUAAGCUCAGUCGUC